rnacentral:rRNA from 1 species
UUAAGUCAGGCAACAAGCGAGACCCCUGCUUCUAGUUGCUACUUUCAUUCUUCGGAGUGGAAGGGCUAAUUAGGGGGACCGCCACUGCUGAAGUGGAGGAAGGAGGGGGCUACGGCAGGUCAGUAUGCCCCGAAACCCUCGGGCCACACGCGGGCUGCAAUGGUAAGUACAAUAGGUUCCGAUUCCGAAAGGAGGAGGCAAUCCCGUAAAACUUACCACAGUUAUGAUUGAGGGCUGAAACUCGUCCUCAUGAAUAUGGAAUCCCUAGUAAUCGCGUGUCAUCAUCGCGCGGUGAAUACGUCCCUGCUCCUUGCACA